AUUGAACGCUGGCGGCAGGCCUAACACAUGCAAGUCGAACGAGUGGCGGACGGGUGAGAAAUGUCUGGGAAACUGCCUGAUGGAGGGGGAUAAAUACUGGAAACGGUAGCUAAUCCCGCAUACCAGCGGAUGUGCCCAGAUGGGAUUAGCUAGUAGGUGGGGUAAAGGCUCACCUAGGCGACGAUCCCUAACUGGUCUGAGAGGAUGACCCGCCACACUGGAACUGAGAUACGGUCCAGACUCCUACGUGAGGCAGCAGUGGGGAAUAUUGCACAAUGGGCGCAAGCCUGAUGCAGCCAUGCCGCGUGUAUGAAGAAGGCCUUCGGGUUGUAAAGUACUUUCAGCGGGGAGGCGUUACCCGCAGAAGAAGCACCGGCUAACUCCGUGCCAGCAGCCGCGGUAAUUC
rnacentral:rRNA from 1 species